rnacentral:rRNA from 1 species
GAUGAACGCUGGCGGCGUGCCUAAUACAUGCAAGUCGAGCGAACGGACAAGACGCUUGCUUCUCUGAUGUUAGCGGCGGACGGGUGAGUCACACGUGUAUAACCUCCCUAUAAGACUGGGAUAACUUCGGGAAACCGGAGCUAAUACCGGAUAAUAUUUUGAUCCGUAUGGUUCAAAGGUGAAAUACGGUCUUUCUGUCACUUAUCGAUGGAUCCCGGCUGCAUUAGAUAGUUGUUAAGUAAACGGCUUAUCAAGGCAACGAUGCAUGGCCGACUUGAGAGAGUGAUAGGCGACAUUGGAACUGAGACACGGUCAAGGCGCCUAAGAGAGGCAGCAGAAGGGAAUCGGACGCAGUGGGCGAAAGCAUGACGGAGCAACGCCGCGUGAGAGAUGAAGGUGUUGGGAUCGGAAAAAUCGGUUAUUAGGGAAGAACAUAUGUGUAAGUAAAUGUGCACAUAGUGACGGUAACGAAUCAGAAAGCAACGGCUAACUACGUG